rnacentral:rRNA from 1 species
CCUACGGGGGGCAGCAGUGGGGAAUAUUGCACAAUGGGGGAAACCCUGAUGCAGCGACGCCGCGUGGGUGAAGGAGUACUUCGGUACGUAAAGCCCUAUCAGCAGGGAAGAAAAUGACGGUACCUGAGUAAGAAGCCCCGGCUAACUACGUGCCAGCAGCCGCGGUAAUACGUAGGGGGCAAGCGUUAUCCGGAUUUACUGGGUGUAAAGGGAGCGUAGACGGCAGUGCAAGUCCGGAGUGAAAGCCGGGGGCUCAACCCCGGGACUGCUCUGGAAACUGUAAGGCUGGAGUGCAGGAGGGGCAAGUGGAAUUCCUGGUGUAGCGGUGAAAUGCGUAGAUAUCAGGAGGAACACCAGCGGCGAAGGCGGCCUACUGGACUGUAACUGACGUUGAGGCUCGAAAGCGUGGGGAGCAAACAGGAUUAGAUACCCUGGUAGUC